CAGCUGCUUCCAAGAUUCGAAGUAUUUCAAGAUGGAGGAACAAGAGUACAUCAGUUGUGAAUUACAAGGAAUUCUCGAGGAAUUCGCGAGAAUCAGAGACGUGUGACAAAGAUUCAUUUCUCUUCGUUCAAUCUUUUAAUUUAUCGGUUUUCUAAUUUUCUAAAAAUCAACAGACGUACCUUGCGUUGAAAGCUUAUUGUGAAAUGCAAGAGGAAGCUAUGUCGAUAGAAAAAGCACGUUCCGAGAGGUUACAGAUGAAUCUGGAGAAACUUUCCACAACUUAUCUGCUUUUAGAAAAUAGAUAUAAGUCUAUCGUUGAAAAAUUGCAGACUGAAAGGGACGAUCUUCGUAAAACAAAUGAAGAGCUGAAGGAACAGUGUGAUCAUUUGCGUCUGAUUAAUGCAGAAGAUCGUGGUGGAAACAACAACCAAAGUAAAAUGAUUAUUUCAUUUAUUUAGCAAAUAUGCAAAUUGCAAGACGAACUGGAAGUUUUAAAAGCCCAAUUAGUGAUACAGGAAGAGAAACACAACGAAAACGUCGCAUUGUUAAAGCAGCAACACUUUGACGAACUACAGAGAUAUAAAAUGUUGCUGCAGAACGGAAAACAGGCCUCCACAUCUGUAAUUUAAUAUUUUCUACUUGAAGAAUGUUCCACGAAAUUUGCAACUUUAUUUACGAACCAAAUGUUUCUUUCCCUUUUUUUUUUUUUUUUUUCUUCGAAUCAGAGAGAAUCUAAAAAGAGAAAACGUCCAAAGAAUUUGGGAAAGAAUAAAAAUAAGGUGUCUUUCUUUAGAUGGCCGGAAUUGAACAUAGAGACAAUCAAUAGCGUGCCAUUGGAGGCGCGCAACGACAAUGAAGCUGCAAAUAGAAACUGUGCUACGAAGAAGAGGAAAUUAUUUUACGAAGACAGAGACACUAUAAUAGACAUUCCUUAAAAUA